GGCAACGGAUAUCUCGGCUCUCGCAUCGAUGAAGAACGUAGCGAAAUGCGAUACUUGGUGUGAAUUGCAGAAUCCCGUGAACCAUCGAGUCUUUGAACGCAAGUUGCGCCCGAAGCCGUUUGGCCGAGGGCACGUCUGCCUGGGCGUCACGCAUCGUUGCCCCA
rnacentral:rRNA from 1 species